GGAUGUGAGGGCGAUCUGGCUGUAACAUCUGUCACCCUAUUGAUUGCCAACAUUGAUUCGGCUGAUCUGGAUGGCUAGAAAGAUGUCCUGUUCCUCCCUCACCACUCCAUGCACAUCCUUCCUGAAGCUACAAGCUCUGUCAAAGAGGAUGACCUUCCAUGAAUGGAGAUGAACUGUUAUUCUGUUCUGGAUAUACGAGUAGCUGCACUCCACUGCUAGAACCUCCAAGUAAUCUCUCAAAAUAUGUCCUCUUGAUUUCCUAGUAUACGAGGUUUGCCUGGGAAAAUAUCAUUUGG
rnacentral:snRNA from 1 species